AGAGUUUGAUCCUGGCUCAGGACGAACGCUGGCGGCGGGCUUAACACAUGCAAGUCGCAGGGGAUUAGAGAAGCUUGCUUCUUUAUGAGACUGGCGCACGGGUGAGUAACACGUAAGCAAUCUGCCUACAGGAGGGGGAUAACUCCGCGAAAGCGGGGCUAAUACCGCAUGAUGCAGCGGGGCCGCAUGGCCACAGUUGUUAAAGUCCUUCGGGGCGCCUGUAGAUGAGCUUGCGUUGCAUUAGCUAGUUGGUGGGGUAACGGCCUACCAAGGCUAUGAUGCAUAGGGGGUCUGAGAGGAUGAUCCCCCACACUGGAACUGAGACACGGUCCAGACUCCUACGGGAGGCAGCAGUGAGGAAUAUUGCGCAAUGGAGGAAACUCUGACGCAGCCACGCCGCGUGCCGGAAGACGGUCCUAUGGAUUGUAAACGGCUUUUGCCAGGGAAGAACCGACUGAUUUCGAUCGGUCCUGACGGUACCUGGUGAAUAAGCACCGGCUAACUCCGUGCCAGCAGCCGCGGUAAUACGGAGGGUGCAAGCGUUGUCCGGAUUUAUUGGGUGUAAAGGGUGCGUAGGCGGAUCUUUAAGUCUGGGGUGAAAUCCUGCAGCUCAACUGUAGAACUGCCUCAGAUACUGGAGAUCUUGAGUAUGACAGAGGUCGGCGGAAUUCGUAGUGUAGCGGUGAAAUGCAUAGAUAUUACGAAGAACACCAGUGGCGUAGGCGGCCGGCUGGGUCAUAACUGACGCUGAGGCACGAGAGCGUGGGGAGCAAACAGGAUUAGAUACCCUGGUAGUCCACGCCGUAAACGAUGUAUGCUAGGUGUUGGUCCUUUCGGGGAUCAGUGCUGCAGCUAACGCAUUAAGCAUACCACCUGGGGAGUACGUUCGCAAGAAUGAAACUCAAAGGAAUUGACGG
rnacentral:rRNA from 1 species